UACCGUGGCAUAGUGGUUUGAGUGUUGGAUUACAACUCUAGAGAUCAGGAUUCGAUUUCCUGUUUGGCCA